rnacentral:rRNA from 1 species
GUGAACGCUGGCGGUAGGCCUAACACAUGCAAGUCGAACGGCAGCACAGUAAGAGCUUGCUCUUACGGGUGGCGAGUGGCGGACGGGUGAGGAAGACAUCGGAAUCUACUUUUUCGUGGGGGAUAACGGAGGGAAACUUACGCUAAUACCGCAUACGACCUACGGGUGAAAGCAGGGGAUCUUCGGACCUUGCGCGAUUGAAUGAGCCGAUGUCGGAUUAGCUAGUUGGCGGGGUAAAGGCCCACCAAGGCGACGAGCCGUAGCUGGUCUGAGAGGAGGAUCAGCCACACUGGAACUGAGACACGGUCCAGACUCCUACGGGAGGCAGCAGUGGGGAAUAUUGGACAAUGGGCGCAAGCCUGAUCCAGCCAUACCGCGUGGGUGAAGAAGGCCUUCGGGUUGUAAAGCCCUUUUGUUGGGAAAGAAAAGCAGCAGGUUAAUACCCCGCUGUUCUGACGGUACCCAAAGAAUAAGCACCGGCUAACUUCGUG